CCUACGGGAGGCAGCAGUAGGGAAUAUUGCUCAAUGGGGGAAACCCUGACGCAGCAACGCCGCGUGAAGGAAGAAGGCUUUCGGUUUGUAAACUUCUUUUGUCAGAGAAGAUAAUGACGGUAUCUAACUCAUAAGCACCGGCUAACUCCGUGCCAGCAGCCGCGGUAAUACGGAGGGUUCAAGCGUUACACGGAUUCACUGGGCGUAAAGAGCGCGUAGGCGGGGUAGCAAGUCAGAUGUGAAAUCCUAUGGCUUAACCAUAGAACUGCAUUUGAAACUGUUUUUCUAGAGUAUAGGAGAGGUAGGUGGAAUUCUUAGUGUAGCGGUAAAAUCCGUAGAGAUGAGGAGGAAUACUCGUUGCGAAGGCGACCUGCUGGAACAUAACUGACGCUGAGGCGCGAAAGCGUGGGGAGCAAACAGGAUUAGAUACCCGUGUAGUC
rnacentral:rRNA from 1 species